rnacentral:rRNA from 1 species
GGAAAUUGUUUAUUGCAUCAUUUACUAGAAAUUUGCAUAACACAACACUUGCUGGCAGAGAUUGGACUAGUCAUGUAAAGUAUAUGAAUCGUGAGUAUUAUGCCCAUUUUAAUCCACUUUACAUUGCUGUGGUCAUUUUACUCUUCUGAACAUAUCCAUGUCAAGGGAAAAAUGUGAGAGUGUAUUAACAACCUAAAUAUAAGAAUAUUGUGAAAUACAUUGUUAUUGUACAAUGAGGGGUCUACUUUAUGUUUCCAAAAUUCUCAAAGAGUGGUCACUGCAGUUAGAAAAAAAAUGAACAAACCAUGUUGGAACAUCGCACCCCACUAUCUGCUACAAAUAUUACUUGGACAAAGUGGUCAGCUAAGUAGAUCCCAUGGAGAUAAAUCAAGAGUUGCCAGAAUUUGAAUGUUCAGUGGAAGGACAAGAUACCAUGGUACUCUUCUCCUCGGCAAAAAGGCAGAUAUCAUCGUCACCAGCCCCACUGGCAAUAACAUCCUUGCUGCUUGCACAGAGUAGCAAGGAACCAACAGGAGCAUCUCAUGGGCGUUUACUUAUUAAACAAGGAGCUUUAACUAACUAGCAGAUCUCAGAAAUUCUACAUUGCUGCUGCUCGCAAUGCUAGUUGGAUGUAACUUGCAUGUCAGAAAAUGUGAACAAACCAUGAUGUAACUAGCCACGUUUUGUGCAUCAUAGUUCAGUACAAGAAAAUGUGAGAGCCCUUGGAGAACUAUGCCAGAGCAGAGCAGUAAUCACUUGGAAAGGAAAGAAAAACAUAGCGAGAGGGUCGACCUUGUUCUGUGGGGAAUCAUGGUGGUCGGGGCGGACGAUCUCACUGUCGAGCUCGAGCGUGGGGUGCCGGUCGUCACCGUCCAUGGAACAGGAGAGACGGAGAGCUCCUGCUGAUCUGAAUCAAAGCAAAAAAAUCGAUUGGGGAUGGGACAGAGAAAGAAUGAAUGGAGGAGAAAGGACACGAGGGGGUAGGGAGGGACGUGCGGGCAUCGUCGUCCCCAGCAAGGUCGAGCUUGUGCCUCCUACAGGUCACGGUCGUCGUCCUCUCCUCGUCCCGCGCUGGCUGAUCCGAAUCUCCAGACGGCGAGGCAGCUGCGUGGCCUGGGAGACGGAGUAGAAGGCCCCUGCAGUAGAUCCAUGGCCCUCUUCGCUGCUUGCGAGCAGCAGCUGCUCGCCGCAUCGGCUAUGGUUGUCUUCCGCUUCCAUCGGGCCGCUUCAGCCGCCGUCGCCAUGGAUCUUGGCUGCCCUCAUCGGUUGGAGGCGGGGAGGUGGAGGUGAAGGACGGGGUGGAGAAGAUGGGAGGCGUGGAGGCGGAGGACGGGGACGAGGAGAUGCGAUGUGUGGUGG